rnacentral:rRNA from 1 species
AGAGUUUGAUCCUGGCUCAGGAUGAACGCUAGCGGCAGGCCUAAUACAUGCAAGUCGAACGAUACCAGGGAGCUUGCUCUCUGGGAAAGUGGCGCACGGGUGCGUAACGCGUAUGCAACCUACCUUAAUCAGGGGGAUAGCCUCUCGAAAGAGAGAUUAACACCGCAUAAAAUCACAGUCCGGCAUCGGAUAAUGAUCAAAUAUUUAUAGGAUUAAGAUGGGCAUGCGUGACAUUAGUUUGUUGGUGAGGUAACGGCUCACCAAGACUACGAUGUCUAGGGGAUCUGAGAGGAUGACCCCCCACACUGGUACUGAGACACGGACCAGACUCCUACGGGAGGCAGCAGUAAGGAAUAUUGGUCAAUGGGGGCAACCCUGAACCAGCCAUGCCGCGUGCAGGAAGACGGCCCUACGGGUUGUAAACUGCUUUUAUACGGGAAUAAACCUCUCUUCGUGAAGAGAGCUGAAUGUACUGUAAGAAUAAGGAUCGGCUAACUCCGUGCCAGCAGCCGCGGUAAUACGGAGGGUCCAAGCGUUAUCCGGAUUUAUUGGGUUUAAAGGGUGCGUAGGCGGCCUAUUAAGUCAGGGGUGAAAGACGGUGGCUCAACCAUCGCAGUGCCUUUGAUACUGAUAGGCUUGAUUACACUUGAGGUAGGCGGAAUGUGACAAGUAGCGGUGAAAUGCAUAGAUAUGUCACAGAACACCAAUUGCGAAGGCAGCUUACUAAGGUGUUAAUGACGCUGAGGCACGAAAGCGUGGGGAUCAAACAGGAUUAGAUACCCUGGUAGUCC